GAUGAACGCUGGCGGCGUGCCUAAUACAUGCAAGUCGAGCGAACAGACGAGGAGCUUGCUCCUCUGACGUUAGCGGCGGACGGGUGAGUAACACGUGGAUAACCUACCUAUAAGACUGGGAUAACUUCGGGAAACCGGAGCUAAUACCGGAUAAUAUAUUGAACCGCAUGGUUCAAUAGUGAAAGACGGUUUUGCUGUCACUUAUAGAUGGAUCCGCGCCGCAUUCGCUAGUUGGUAAGGUAACGGCUUACCAAGGCAACGAUGCGUAGCCGACCGGAGAGGGGGAUCGGCCACACUGGAACUGAGACACGGUCCAGACUCCUACGGGAGGCAGCAGUAGGGAAUCUUCCGCAAUGGGCGAAAGCCUGACGGAGCAACGCCGCGUGAGUGAUGAAGGUCUUCGGAUCGUAAAACUCUGUUAUUAGGGAAGAACAAAUGUGUAAGUAACUAUGCACGUCUUGACGGUACCUAAUCAGAAAGCCACGGCUAACUACGUG
rnacentral:rRNA from 1 species